UACGUAGGGCGCAAGCGUUGUCCGGAAUUAUUGGGCGUAAAGAGCUCGUAGGCGGUUUGUCGCGUCUGCUGUGAAAACCUAAGGCUCAACCUUGGGCUUGCAGUGGGUACGGGCAGACUAGAGUGCGGUAGGGGUGACUGGAAUUCCUGGUGUAGCGGUGGAAUGCGCAGAUAUCAGGAGGAACACCGAUGGAGAAGGCAGGUCACUGGGCCGCAACUGACGCUGAGGAGCGAAAGCAUGGGGAGCGAACAGG
rnacentral:rRNA from 1 species